rnacentral:rRNA from 1 species
AAACCCUUGUUAAGGAACUCGGCAAAAUGACCCCGUAACUUCGGGAGAAGGGGUGCCUCCAGGAAUGGAGGCCGCAGAGAAGAGGCCCAAGCGACUGUUUAACAAAAACACAGGUAUCUGCGAAAGCGAGAGCUGACGUAUAGGUGCUGACACCUGCCCGGUGCUGGAAGGUUAAGGGGACAUGUCAUCGCAAGAGAAGCAUCGAACCGAAGCCCCAGUAAACGGCGGCCGUAACUAUAACGGUCCUAAGGUAGCGAAAUUCCUUGUCGGGUAAGUUCCGACCCGCACGAAUGGUGUAACGAUUUGGGCGCUGUCUCAACAAGGGGCCCGGUGAAAUUGAAGUAAGGGUGAAGAUGCCCAUUACCCGCGACUGGACGGAAAGACCCCGUAGAGCUUUACUGUAACCUGAUAUUGGAUUUCGGCAACUGAUGCACAGGAUAGGUGGGAGGCUUGGAAGUGAGUGUCUCGGCAUUCAUGGAGCCGCUGUUGGUAUACCACUCUUCUGUUGCUGGAAUUCUACAUAGGCCCGUGAACCGGGUGAUGGACAGUGUCAGGCGGACAGUUUGACUGGGGCGGUCGCCUCCCAAAGAGUAACGGAGGCGCCCAAAGGUACCCUCAGAAUGGAUGGAAACCAUUCGCAGAGUGCAAAGGCAGAAGGGUGCCUGACUGCGAGACUGACAAGUCGAGCAGAGACGAAAGUCGGGCUUAGUGAUCUGGCGGUAUCGAGCGGAAGAGCCGUCACUUAGCGGAUAAAAGCUACCUCGGGGAUAACAGGCUGAUACCCCCCAAGAGUUCACAUCGACGGGGGUGUUUGGCACCUCGAUGUCGGCUCGUCGCAUCCUGGGGCUGAAGCAGGUCCCAAGGGUUUGGCUGUUCGCCAAUUAAAGCGGCACGCGAGCUGGGUUCAGAACGUCGUGAGACAGUUCGGUCCCUAUCCAUCGUGGGCGUUGGAAUCAUGAGAGGAUCUGUUCCUAGUACGAGAGGACCGGAAUGGACGUACCACUGGUGCAACUGUUGCGCCGCCAGGCGCAUGGCAGGGAAGCGAAGUACGGGAAGGAUAAACGCUGAAGGCAUCUAAGCGUGAAGCCAGCCUCAAGAAGAAGGUUCCCAUUCACAAGAUGAAGUAAGGCCCCCGGGAGACGACCGGGAGAUAGGCCGGCGGUGGAAGCGCAGCAAUGCGUUGAGCUUGCCGGUACUAAUAGGCCGAGGGCUUGACC